GGGGAGUACGUUCGGAAGAAUGUAACUCAAAGGAAUUGAUGGGGCCCACACAAGCAAUGGAGCAUGUAGUUUAAUUCAAUGCAUAGUGAAAAAUCUCACCCGGGUUUGAAAUGCCACAAAUCCUCUCAAAAGAGAGGGUAGCUCGGGGGAACGUGGACAUAGGUGGUGCAUGGUUGUCAUCAACUCAUGUCGUAAGGUGUUGGGUUAAGUACCGCAAAGAAGUACAACCCUCGUGUUUAGUUGCCAUCGUUAAAUUUGGAACCUUGAACAAAAUGUUGGUGAUAAACCAAAGGAAUGUGGGGAUGAUAUUAAGUCAUCAUGCCCUGGACGAUACACGUGCUACAAUGGUCGGGACAAAGUCACGAAGCUUUUCCAUCAAUAGUAACAUAAGUUCUGCUACAGUGAUAUUACUUGGAAUUAAGAGUGAAAUUCUUUUGUUCUCUUGCCACUUUCA
rnacentral:rRNA from 1 species